rnacentral:rRNA from 1 species
UACGUAGGGUGCGAGCGUUAAUCGGAAUUACUGGGCGUAAAGGGCGCGUAGGUUGUUAUUUAAGUGAGAUGUGAAAUCCCCGGGCUUAACCUGGGAACUGCAUCUUAUACUGGGUAACUGGAGUGCAAUAGAGGGUAGUGGAAUUUCCGGUGUAGCGGUGAAAUGCGUAGAUAUCGGAAGGAACACCAGUGGCGAAGGCGGCUACCUGGAUUGACACUGACACUGAGGCGCGAGAGCGUGGGGAGCAAACAGG